AACGAACGCUGGCGGCAUGCCUAACACAUGCAAGUCGAACGAGACCUUCGGGUCUAGUGGCGCACGGGUGCGUAACGCGUGGGAACCUGCCCUUAGGUUCGGAAUAACUCCCCGAAAGGGGUGCUAAUACCGGAUAAUGUCUUCGGACCAAAGAUUUAUCGCCUUUGGAUGGGCCCGCGUUGGAUUAGCUAGUUGGUAGGGUAAAAGCCUACCAAGGCGACGAUCCAUAGCUGGUCUGGGAGGAUGAUCAGCCACACUGGGGAUGAGACACGGCCCAGACUCCUACGGGAGGGAGCAGUGGGGAAUAUUGGACAAUGGGCGAAAGCCUGAUCCAGCAAUGCCGCGUGAGUGAUGAAGGCCUUAGGGUUGUAAAGCUCUUUUACCCGGGAUGAUAAUGACAGUACCGGGAGAAUAAGCUCCGGCUAACUCCGUG
rnacentral:rRNA from 1 species